rnacentral:rRNA from 1 species
GAUGAACGCUGACAGAAUGCUUAACACAUGCAAGUCAACUGUGGCGGACGGGUGAGUAACGCGUAAAGAACUUGCCUCACAGUUAGGGACAACAUUUGGAAACGAAUGCUAAUACCUGAUACUGUGAGAGAGCUUUGCGUCCCAUUAGCUAGUUGGAGAGGUAACGGCUCACCAAGGCGAUGAUGGGUAGCCGGCCUGAGAGGGUGAUCGGCCACAAGGGGACUGGGACACGGACCUUACGCCGUCGGGAGGCAGCAGUGGGGAAUAUUGGACAAUGGACCAAAGUCUGAUCCAGCAAUUCGGGGUGCACGAUGAAGUUUUCGGAAUGUAAAGUUCUUUCAGUUGGGAAGCGGUACCAACAGAAGAAGUGACGGCUAAAUACGUGCCAGCAGCCGCGGUAAUUC